rnacentral:lncRNA from 1 species
UGUGAAAUUUGGUGCCGUGACUCGGAUCUGGGGACCUCCCUUGGGAGAUCAAUCCCCUGUCCUGUUCUUUGCUCCAUGACAAAGAUCCACCUAUGACCUCAGGUCCUCAGACCGACCAGCCCAAGGAACAUCUCACCAAUUGUAAAUCAGGUAAGCGGCCUCUUCUUACUCUCUUCUCCAACCUCUCUCACUGUCCCUCAACCACUUUCUCCUUUCCACUCUUCAGUCUCUCCCUUCUCUUAAUUUCAAUUCCUUUCAUUUUCUGGGAGAGACAAAGGAGACACAUUUUAUCCGUGGACCCAAAACUCUGGCGCCGGUGACGGACUGGGAAGGCAGCCUUCCCUUGGUGUUUAAUCAUUGCAGGGAUGCCUCUCUGAUUAUACACUCACGUUUCAAGGGUGUCAGACUAUGCAGGGACGCCUGCCUUGGUCCUUCACCCUUAGUGGCAAGUCCCGCUUUUCUACAGGGCAAGAACCCCCAAUCCCUUAUUUCCAUGCCCCAACCUCUUAUCUCUGUGCCCCAAUCCCUUAUUUCUGCACCCUGACCUCUUAUCUCUGUGUCCCAAUCCCUUAUUUCCGUGCCCAGACCUCGUAUCUCUGUGCCCCAAUCCCUUAUUUCUGCGCCCCAACCUGUUAUAUCUCUGUGCCCCAAUCUCUUAUUUCCACACCCUGACCUCUUAUCUCUGUGCCCCAACCCCUUUUCCCACUUUUCUGGAAGGUAAGAACCCCCAACUCCAUUUCUCUACUCUCUCUUUUCUCUAGGC